GUGCUUGCUUCGGUGGCAUGUAUACUAAAAUUGGGAUGACACAGAGAAGACUAGCACGGCCCCUGAGCAAGGAUGACAAGCAAAUUCGUGAACAUUCCAUAUUAUU